AGCUGAGCAGCGAGCCGCGUGAGGGAUGACGGCCUUCGGGUUGUAAACCCCUGUUCAUUAGGGACGAAGCGUAAGUGACGGUACCUGCAGAAGAUGCUCCGGCCAACUACGUGCCGGCAGCCGCGGUAAUUGACAGCAGCCGCGGUAAUACGUAGGGUGCGAGCGUUGUCCGGAAUUACUGGGCGUAAAGAGCUCGUAGGCGGUUUGUCACGUCGUCUGUGAAAUCCUAGGG
rnacentral:rRNA from 1 species